GACGAACGCUGGCGGCAGGCUUAACACAUGCAAGUCGAACGCAUCGCAAGAUGAGUGGCAGACGGGUGAGUAACGCGUGGGAACAUACCCUUUUCUACGGAAUAGCUCUGGGAAACUGGAAUUAAUACCGUAUACGCCCUACGGGGGAAAGAUUUAUCGGGGAAGGAUUGGCCCGCGUUGGAUUAGCUAGUUGGUGGGGUAAAGGCCUACCAAGGCGACGAUCCAUAGCUGGUCUGAGAGGAUGAUCAGCCACAUUGGGACUGAGACACGGCCCAAACUCCUACGGGAGGCAGCAGUGGGGAAUAUUGGACAAUGGGCGCAAGCCUGAUCAGCCAUGCCGCGUGAGUGAUGAAGGCCUUAGGGUUGUAAAGCUCUUUCACCGAUGAAGAUAAUGACGGUAGUCGGAGAAGAAGCCCCGGCUAACUUCGUGCCAGCCGCCGCCGUAAUAC
rnacentral:rRNA from 1 species